rnacentral:rRNA from 1 species
GCAGUCGAACGGCAGCACGAGAGAGCUUGCUCUCUUGGUGGCGAGUGGCGGACGGGUGAGUAAUAUAUCGGAACGUGCCCAGUAGCGGGGGAUAACUACUCGAAAGAGUGGCUAAUACCGCAUACGCCCUACGGGGGAAAGGGGGGGAUCGCAAGACCUCUCACUAUUGGAGCGGCCGAUAUCGGAUUAGCUAGUUGGUGGGGUAAAGGCUCACCAAGGCAACGAUCCGUAGCUGGUUUGAGAGGACGACCAGCCACACUGGGACUGAGACACGGCCCAGACUCCUACGGGAGGCAGCAGUGGGGAAUUUUGGACAAUGGGGGAAACCCUGAUCCAGCCAUCCCGCGUGUAUGAUGAAGGCCUUCGGGUUGUAAAGUACUUUUGGCAGAGAAGAAAAGGUAUCCCCUAAUACGGGAUACUGCUGACGGUAUCUGCAGAAUAAGCACCGGCUAACUACGUGCCAGCAGCCGCGGUAAUACGUAGGGUGCAAGCGUUAAUCG